rnacentral:lncRNA from 1 species
GGAAUGAGCAACUGACUAAAGUGGAUCCUUAGACUGGUGUCUUGAAGGCUUGGCUAGGAAUCGGGGGGGGCUAGCUCUUUUUUCUCUUCUACCCCUCCCACCCUUGGCUCAUAUGAUUUUAAUUGGAGUGUCCUCCGGGUGCAGCAGACAGCCUGAAGACUCUGUGGAUGUGAGUUCAAGUUGUGCUUGUCUUUAUGCUUCUUGAGGUGAAGGUCCACUGACGUCAUCAUGACAC